rnacentral:lncRNA from 1 species
UUGCACCUAAUUCCUGUUAUCCAAAUCAAGUGAAUUAACACCUAUUCAUUAGGUAGCAAACCAAACAAUUAUUGAUUUCAAUCCAAAUUAAUAAAACCAAAUCUAGCUCACCCUUUUUAUAAAAAUAGUUCCUAUAUUAAACUAUCAACAUACAGCAGCAAUGUAUACUGACGGUUCAAAACUUCAGAACAAAAUAUAACACAGCUGCCUACAAAUGAAAUUACUGGGUUCAACAGUCCAGUUAUAACUCAGUUUAAAUUUUUAAUUAUGCAAAUUAAAGUUAAAUUACAUCAUUAUAACAUCUAAACUAUUAUGCACCAUUACAUCAAUCCAAACUGGCAAAGAUUGAGAAGCAGAUGAAUAAGUAUGUCAUUGCAUUUCCUCUUCAAUUCGAUAUCAGUACAUCAAGGAGGGUCAAAUACCUGGAAAUUAUAGAAACAACAAAAAGGGUCAGAUCAAUUAGCAUCAGUCUAACAAACAACUUGACGCAGCAAAAUAUUCAGUGAAUCAGUAACCACAGAAAUCAAGUCCACGACGCAGCAAUAAACAAAGGAACUUGUAAACCCAACAGAAAAACCACGACCCAACAAUGACAAACCCAAAUCAAUUCAAAACAAGUCCUAAGCCAAGCUAGGAGGCAUAACUUCAAAGAAAAACCCAGAAUCCAAUCACACUCAAUGAAACAGUGAAAUUUUUUGUUGUUUUCUAUUUCUGUAUGUAUUUUUUUGUUUGUAUUUUUGUGUAUUUAAAUGCAGAAAUUUAUGUGAAACUGAAAAUGAAAGGAUAUUCAGACUUUUAGUGAAAAUUUUUAGCUCCAAAAUUCAAACCCCUUUCACAAGGCAAUUAAUGCCCUUUAUAUAGGAAUAAAUAAGGGCAACACUCUGAUAUUCCUUUGCACCCACAACCCCUAAUCAUUUUCAACUUAAAACCUUUAUUCUAUGACUUGCUACUCAAGUUAAUAGCCUAAGUUUAUUGAAAGAUACACUAAGGUCCUAUUCUAGAAGCCUCCAAGAUGCUCUUUGAGCAAGACAAACCCUAAACUACACUUCCCUUGUUUUAAAAUUACCAAACCCAGAGAUUCUACCCUUUUCUAUCCCCAAAAAUAUCCUUUAAACAGUCUGAAAAUUACAGACUAAACUACCUGAACCCAAUCUCUCACCCCAGCUAAACUUUAACUAAAGUUAAUUAAUCAAAUGACUUGUUCAGCUAUAACCCAACCUUACACCUAACGGGAUCACAUAUAACAACUGAAAUUCAAUUAAACUAAAAUUAAUUCGACUAACUAAAGUACUAUCCCAAUCCACCGAUAAUCAAAUCAUCUUAGAACAAAUUGGAAAUUCUUUUGAACUAAAAUUCUAAACAAAAAUCAAUUCACAACAAGGCAGUUGAACCAACUAACACCUAAUUGGCGAAACUACUAAUUAACCAUUUAAGCACAAACAAGACAGAAAUCAAUAGAACUAAUAAAAACUGGAAUUUAAACCAAGUAUCAUCAUAAACACGUAUAACCCAUUACAAUACUCAAGGCUUUACUAACAAAUUAAAAGAUAGAAUUAUAUUGCAAACAAACAACUAAUUAGGAUAUUCGAAAAUUAAAAUUACACUUAGUUAUAAACAUGACGAACUAAAUCGAAUCCAAAAGAUGAGAAAAAGACUUACUGAUUUUAACCUGAUAUUUAUUUGAUCCCGGAAGUGAAUCUUAAUUAAUAUUACAAGUUUAUCUUUGUAAAAAUAAACUUAUAAUAUUAAUAAAAAUCACCCGAGAAUGAGGCUUCAAACGGCAGACACACUUGAAAAUCCUAGAUCUGCAAUUCGAGUCAGUUUGCUUGUUUUUAAAGUCUUUUGGCUUGUGAUUCGAGGUGUGAAUUUGAUCCGGUUUUGACGAGAUUGUGUUUUGACCGGAAUUUUCUAUUUAGGAUUCGAGGACUUUGGUGAUGAUUCGAGGGAAAUUGGAUGGGGAUUCGAGAUGAGGGUAGUGAGGAGAGUCUACGGUGUAUUUUUGGUUAAGUUUGGUGGUCGACGCUGCCACCGGCGGCCUGGGGUUUCAUGGCGGCGUGUCUAGGGUUUGUGAGAGGUGAGGAAGACAAUGUGAAAU